UACGUAGGGACCGAGCGUUGUCCGGAUUCAUUGGGCGUAAAGAGCUCGUAGGCGGCCACUCAAGUCGAAUGUGAAACCUCGAGGCUUAACCUCGAGCCUGCAUUCGAUACUGGGUGGCUAGAGUCUGGUAGGGGGAUCUGGAAUUCCUGGUGUAGCGGUGGAAUGCGCAGAUAUCAGGAGGAACACCCGUGGCGAAAGCGGCUCUCUGGGCCGGAACUGACGCUGAGGAGCGAAAGCGUGGGGAGCAAACAGG
rnacentral:rRNA from 1 species